rnacentral:rRNA from 1 species
AUUGAACGCUGGCGGCAGGCCUAACACAUGCAAGUCGAACGAGUGGCGGACGGGUGAGUAAUGUAUGGGAAACUGCCUGAUGGAGGGGGAUAACUACUGGAAACGGUCGCUAAUACCGCAUACCAUCGGAUGUGCCCAGAUGGGAUUAGCUAGUAGGUGGGGUAAAGGCUCACCUAGGCGACGAUCCCUAGCUGGUCUGAGAGGAUGACCAGCCACACUGGAACUGAGACACGGCCCAGACUCCUACGGGAGGCAGCAGGGGGGAAUAUUGCACAAUGGGCGCAAGCCUGAUGCAGCCAUGCCGGGUGUAUGAAGAAGGCCUUCGGGUUGUAAAGUACUUUCAGCGGGGCGGCGUUACCCGCAGAAGAAGCACCGGCUAACUCCGUGCCAGCAGCCGCGGUAAUAC